rnacentral:lncRNA from 1 species
CUGGAUGUCUCUACUCCAAUUGACCCCUUCAUCUUGAGGAGUAAACCUUCUUAUAGAGUCAAAUCAAAAAAAUGAAUGGAUGAUCUAGAUACAUUACUUUAUAAUGCAAAACAACUGGCUAAUCACUGAUGAAGAACAUGCCCUUUUCCUGAAUAUGUGGCUGGAAAAAUUCAUCUUUUGUGGAUCCAGCACAUGUCCUACAGCGAACAUGCUAGUAUUUGCUGAACAUUUGGCUCAAGAUAAUAAACUCCCCC